GACGAACGCUGGCGGCGUGCUUAACACAUGCAAGUCGAACGGAAAGGCCCUGCUUUUGUGGGGUGCUCGAGUGGCGAACGGGUGAGUAACACGUGAGUAACCUGCCCUUGACUUUGGGAUAACUUCAGGAAACUGGGGCUAAUACCGGAUAGGAGCUCCUGCUGCAUGGUGGGGGUUGGAAAGUUUCGGCGGUUGGGGAUGGACUCGCGGCUUAUCAGCUUGUUGGUGGGGUAGUGGCUUACCAAGGCUUUGACGGGUAGCCGGCCUGAGAGGGUGACCGGCCACAUUGGGACUGAGAUACGGCCCAGACUCCUACGGGAGGCAGCAGUGGGGAAUAUUGCACAAUGGGCGGAAGCCUGAUGCAGCAACGCCGCGUGCGGGAUGACGGCCUUCGGGUUGUAAACCGCUUUCGCCUGUGACGAAGCGUGAGUGACGGUAAUGGGUAAAGAAGCACCGGCUAACUACGUGCCAGCAGCCGCGGUGAUACGUAGGGUGCGAGCGUUGUCCGGAUUUAUUGGGCGUAAAGGGCUCGUAGGUGGUUGAUCGCGUCGGAAGUGUAAUCUUGGGGCUUAACCCUGAGCGUGCUUUCGAUACGGGUUGACUUGAGGAAGGUAGGGGAGAAUGGAAUUCCUGGUGGAGCGGUGGAAUGCGCGGAUAUCAGGAGGAACACCAGUGGCGAAGGCGGUUCUCUGGGCCUUUCCUGACGCUGAGGAGCGAAAGCGUGGGGAGCGAACAGGCUUAGAUACCCUGGUAGUCCACGCUGUAAACGGUGGGUACUAGGUGUGGGGUCCAUUCCACGGGUUCCGUGCCGUAGCUAGCGCUUUAAGUACCCCGCCUGGGGAGUACGGCCGCAAGGCUAAAACUCAAAGGAAUUGACGGGGCCCCGCACAAGCGGCGGAGCAUGCGGAUUAAUUCGAUGCAACGCGUAGAACCUUACCUGGGUUUGACAUGGAUCGGGAGUGCUCAGAGAUGGGUGUGCCUCUUUUGGGGUCGGUUCACAGGUGGUGCAUGGCUGUCGUCAGCUCGUGUCGUGAGAUGUUGGGUUAAGUCCCGCAACGAGCGCAACCCUUGUUCACUGUUGCCAGCACGUUAUGGUGGGGACUCAGUGGAGACCGCCGGGGUCAACUCGGAGGAAGGUGGGGAUGACGUCAAGUCAUCAUGCCCCUUAUGUCCAGGGCUUCACGCAUGCUACAAUGGCUGGUACAGAGAGUGGCGAGCCUGUGAGGGUGAGCGAAUCUCGGAAAGCCGGUCUCAGUUCGGAUUGGGGUCUGCAACUCGACCUCAUGAAGUCGGAGUCGCUAGUAAUCGCAGAUCAGCAACGCUGCGGUGAAUACGUUCCCGGG
rnacentral:rRNA from 1 species